UCUUUCUAGAUACUCUAAAGUGC
rnacentral:piRNA from 1 species